GAUGAACGCUGGCGGCGUGCCUAAUACAUGCAAGUCGAGCGAACAGACGAGGAGCUUGCUCCUCUGACGUUAGCGGCGGACGGGUGAGUAACACGUGGAUAACCUACCUAUAAGACUGGGAUAACUUCGGGACACCGGAGCUCAUACCGGAUAAUAUAUUGAACCGCAUGGUUCAAUAGUGAAAGACGGUUUUGCUGUCACUUAUAGAUGGAUCCGCGCCGCAUUAGCUAGUUGGUAAGGUAACGGCUUACCAAGGCAACGAUGCGUAGCCGACCUGAGAGGGUGAUCGGCCACACUGGAACUGGGACACGGUCCAGACUCCUACGGGAGGCAGCAGUAGGGAAUCUUCCGCAAUGGGCGAAAGCCUGACGGAGCAACGCCGCGUGAGUGAUGAAGGUCUUCGGAUCGUAAAACUCUGUUAUUAGGGAAGAACAAAUGUGUAAGUAACUAUGCACGUCUUGACGGUACCUAAUCAGAAAGCCACGGCUAACUACGUG
rnacentral:rRNA from 1 species